rnacentral:rRNA from 2 species
UGACCUCGGAUCAGGUAGGGAUACCCGCUGAACUUAAGCAUAUCAAUAAGCGGAGGAG